rnacentral:rRNA from 1 species
AGUGAACGCUGGCGGUAGGCCUAACACAUGCAAGUCGAACGGCAGCACAGUAAGAGCUUGCUCUUACGGGUGGCGAGUGGCGGACGGGUGAGGAAUACAUCAGAAUCUACUUUUUCGUGGGGGAUAACGUAGGGAAACUUACGCUAAUACCGCAUACGACCUACGGGUGAAAGCAGGGGAUCUUCGGACCUUGCGCGAUUGAAUGAGCCGAUGUCGGAUUAGCUAGUUGGCGGGGUAAAGGCCCACCAAGGCGACGAUCCGUAGCUGGUCUGAGAGGAUGAUCAGCCACACUGGAACUGAGACACGGUCCAGACUCCUACGGGAGGCAGCAGUGGGGAAUAUUGGACAAUGGGCGGAAGCCUGAUCCAGCCAUACCGCGUGGGUGAAGAAGGCCUUCGGGUUGUAAAGCCCUUUUGUUGGGAAAGAAAAGCAGCAGGUUAAUACCCCGCUGUUCUGACGGUACCCAAAGAAUAAGCACCGGCUAACUUCGUG